rnacentral:rRNA from 1 species
GAUGAACGCUGGCGGCGCGCCUAACACAUGCAAGUCGAACGAUUAAAGCACCUUCGGGUGUGUAUAAAGUGGCGAACGGCUGAGUAACACGUGGGCAACCUGCCCCUUUCAUUGGGAUAGCCACGGGAACCCGUGGAUAAUACCGAAUACUUCGAGACUUCCGCAUGGAAGACUCGAGAAAGCUCCGGCGGAGAGGGAUGGGCCCGCGGCCUGUUAGCUUGUUGGUGGGGUAACGGCCUACCAAGGCAAUGAUGGGUAGCUGGGUUGAGAGACCGACCAGCCAGAUUGGGACUGAGACACGGCCCAGACUCCUACGGGAGGCAGCAGUGGGGAAUCUUGCACAAUGGGCGAAAGCCUGAUGCAGCGACGCCGCGUGCGGGAUGAAGGCCUUCGGGUUGUAAACCGCUUUCAGCAGGGACGAGGCGAAAGUGACGGUACCUGCAGAAGAAGCCCCGGCUAACUACGUG